UCGAGGGGUAACGGGGAAGCUUGCUUCCGCCGACGACCGGCGCACGGGUGCGUAACGCGUAUACAAUCUACCUUGUACUGGGGUAUAGCCUUUAGAAAUGAAGAUUAAUCCCCCAUAGUCUCUUAGAGUGGCAUCACUUCUAGAGUAAAGGUUACGGUAUAAGAUGAGUAUGCGUUCUAUUAGUUUGUUGGUGUGGUAACGGCACACCAAGACUACGAUAGAUAGGGGCCCUGAGAGGGGGAUCCCCCACACUGGUACUGAGACACGGACCAGACUCCUACGGGAGGCAGCAGUGAGGAAUAUUGGACAAUGGAGGCAACUCUGAUCCAGCCAUGCCGCGUGCAGGAAGACUGCCCUAUGGGUUGUAAACUGCUUUUAUACAGGAAGAAACACCUCUACGUGUAGAGGCUUGAC
rnacentral:rRNA from 1 species